GUGAGGAAUUUUCCGCAAUGGGCGAAAGCCUGACGGAGCAAUGCCGCGUGAAGGAUGAAGGCCUAUGGGUUGUAAACUUCUUUUCUUAGAGAAGAAUAUUGACGGUAUCUGAGGAAUAAGCAUCGGCUAACUCUGUGCCAGCAGCCGCGGUAAGACAGAGGAUGCAAGCGUUAUCCGGAAUGAUUGGGCGUAAAGCGUCUGUAGGUGGCUUCAAAAGUCUCCUGUCAAAGAUCAGGGCUUAACCCUGGGCCGGCAGGAGAAACUCUGAGGCUAGAGUUUGGUAGGGGCAGAGGGAAUUCCCGGUGGAGCGGUGAAAUGCGUAGAGAUCGGGAGGAACACCAAAGGCGAAAGCACUCUGCUGGGCCACAACUGACACUGAGAGGCGAAAGCGAGGGGAGCAAAAGGGAUUAGAAACCCCUGUAGUCC
rnacentral:rRNA from 1 species